AAUCUCUUCACCAAUCAUCUCAACAAGCAUUGUAGAGGAUUUCUGGACCAUCACAAGCCUUGAAACAAGCCAAAUCUAAAUUCUGCACUUCAAGAGGUCAGGAUUCGACCUCUCUAAUUCUCAAAUUCUUUGUUAUAUUCAUGUAGAUCUUUUGCUGGUGAUGAUUUUGGUAUAAAGAUUUGAGUGAAUUGGUGCAUUGUACACGAAGUUAUGCUUGAUUCAAGUUUUGGUGUCAAAUUUUAUUUUCUUCGAUCCGAG
rnacentral:lncRNA from 1 species